rnacentral:rRNA from 1 species
CCUACGGGAGGCAGCAGUGGGGAAUAUUGCACCCUGGGGGACACCCUGAUGCAGCGACGCCGCGUGCGUGAAGAAGUAUUUCGGUACGUACAGCUCUAUCAGCAGGGAAGAAAAUGACGGUACCUGAAUAAGAAGCCCCGGCUAACUACGUGCCAGCAGCCGCGGUAAUACGUAGGGGGAAAGCGUUAUCCGGAUGUACUGGGUGUUCAGGGAGCGUAGACGGCAGCGCAAGUCUGGAGUGAAAUCCCAUGGCUUAACCAUGGAACUGCUUGGGAAACUGUGCAGCUGGAGUGCAGGAGAGGUAAGCGGAAGUCCGAGUGGAGCGGUGAAAUGCGUAGAGAUUAGGAGGAACACCAGUGGCGAAGGCGGCUUACGGGACGGUAACUGACGUUGAGGCUCGAAAGCGUGGGGAGCAAACAGGAUUAGAUACCCGAGUAGUC